AAUCUUCUGUACUCUUUUGAUCCUGUUCAGGGUCAUGGUGGGGCUGGGGCACAUCCCAGCUAACAACAGGAGAAAAGCUCAUCAUGCUACACUCUGGACAGAUCAAAUCCUCUGUACUCUUGAUCCUGUCCAGGGUCACAGUACAGCCGGGGCACAUCCCAGCAAACAGCAGGAGUAAAGCUCAUCAUGCUACWCUCUGGACAGCAUGGUGAAAAUAUUCAGAAGUCACAUGAGAAACCUCAAAAUCAUGCUGUGGAGAACUGUGAGGACAAAAAGAUGCUGUGGUCCAGCAUAGAAGACCAGUCAGGUUUAAUCUGCGUACYGAAGGACAGGGCAGAUGAAAUGAUUCUACGAUAUCAAGYCAUGCAGAAAGUUAACUCCGACCUUGAAGACCAA